rnacentral:rRNA from 1 species
UACCUGCAGCUCAAGUGGUGAUCAUUAUUAUUGGGCCUAAAACGUCCGUAGCCGGUUUAGUAAAUGCCUGGGUAAAUCGUGUAGCUUAACUAUUCGACUUCCGGGUAGACUGCUAGACUUGAGACCGGGAGAAGCUAGAGGUACUCCUGGGGUAGAGGUGAAAUUCUGUAAUCCUAGGGGGACCACCAGUGGCGAAGGCGUCUAGCUAGAACGGGUCUGACGGUGAGGGACGAAGCCCUGGGGCACAAACCGGAUUAGAUACCCGGGUAGUCCAGGGUGUAAACGCUGCUUGCAUGAUGUUAGUUGGGCUCCGAGCCCAACUAGUGUCGGAGAGAAGUUGUUAAGCAAGCUGCCUGGGAAGUACGGUCGCAAGGCUGAAACUUAAAAGGAAUUGGCGGGGAGCACAGCAACGGUGGAGCGUGCGGUUU